CCAGUUCAUAGCCAUUUAAAUAAAUGCCCCCAACUCCUAUCUUAUUGCAUAUACUAUUUGACAACUGCAUAAUGCCACCAGAUUAAGAUGUUUGGGGUGAUGCAUUUAUUCUUGGUCCUCCACUGUGUUGCAAAGGAUCACCAUGACAAUAAUUGCCCAAUAAUCAGCAAAUACUCCCACAUUAUACUAUCCAGGUGGGGUUUUGACAGAUGUUGCAGGAUGUUUGCCCUGAGAAGUUUACUGAUCAUAAAUUCGCUGGCCCACUGCCAUAAAAUUCUAUAUAAAUAAAGGGUUUCUGCAAUCUCGUCCUUCAACCAUUCUUCAGCCUUGCUCUUCUCUUCUACAAUUCUGAGAUCCCAGCCAAUUGUGCACCAUGAAGACUGCUUUCGUGCUCUUCGCUUUGGCCUUCUUGGUUUUCCAGGCAAUGGCUAAGCCAAAUCCUGAUGUUUUAGCAGAAGAUGAUGCCCAAAUGCCAGCGGAAGAUGUUCCCCGCCCAAGAAAUCCCAUCGUAUGCAAUUCUAUGGGGGGGAGAUGCCGUCACAAGUGUGGUCUCUCUGAGAAGUAUGUUGGACGAUGCUUUGCAACUAUGUCCUGCUGUGUGCGUUUUCAGUAGAGAGCAUGCGCGAGAAAGAGGCAAGAAAGACCAACAGCGUAUGAUCGGAAGAGAGGAAGAAACCGAUCGAGAUGAAUUAAUGCUAAAUCAUUCCUUUUCAAUUAAAAUUGAGUUUGCAUCCAAUCAUUCUUACUCCAGGGACUCAAUUACUCCUAGUUAUCACUAGCGCUGAACUACCACUGCUGUUGUAACUACUACUACAAACUCUCCCUGUGCCCCGAGUUAUCCGAAAAAGUCUCAAUUUUCUUGAUUUCUUGAUUUGAUUUUAUUUAUUUUAUUUCUAUGCAACUGUUCAUCCACAUGAAUCUCAAAGCAGCUUUGAAAGAGCAAAUAACAAUAACAGAACAGAACAUCACAAAUCAUAUAGAAUGAUGAACAAAUCAGUAAAACACUAUUAACAAAACAACAACAACAAAAAGCAAAGCAGCAUAAUCACAACAGAAGUCAUAUUAUGGGAUUCACGAAGUACUACAGCAUUCACAAUCUAUAAAACAAUCUUAACAGCAUUAACAAAAUAGCAAACAAAAAAAUAAACUAAGCCCUGUUGAAUUCAUACACAAACUCUUCUCAAAUCUCAUGAUUUCAGCUCAUUAAAAUACACAUCGACAUCUUGCCCAUGGCAGGAACUCCUUUCUGAAGGUUUAUUGGGUUGGAUGUGGGGCAGCACAGGGGCCUCUCCUCCCUCCCAGUUCUUUCUCUGGAAACAGUUCCCUUAUGAAGGCUCCUAGGAGUGGGUGCUGUUGACAGUUCCUGGCUAUCUGCCCAGGAAAGCAGAAAUGCAGAGAGAAAGAGCUUUUUAGACACAGGGAAAACAAUCUUACGAUCAAGCCAACAUUGCUUGGAAUAACGCACCACCGGCUCCCUGGCUGUUACUUCCUAGCAAUUAGACCCCUCCUGCUGCUUACGGUGGCUGCUAAGGGCAAACCGUCUUUGGGCUCCUUGUUUUGCGACAUGCAGAGCAUUCCUAGUUCUUAGGGAAGGACGGGGGCUCUGGCAAACUCUCCAGAGACGGCGAGUCACUUGGCUGCUGCACAGAUCGGACUCCUACCUCUGUGCACUGCUCCUGUCCUUCAUCACCCAUUAUUUCCCAACUCCUUCCUCUCUCCUGUCUCAAACCACCAGUCCAAAACAUUACUGUCUCCCCCUUUGCCCUCACUGUAAUGCUUCUGCGGUCUCCGCCUCUUCUCACCAGCAGUCCAGUCCCUGACAGGUGGAGGAUGAGGCAAGGCAGGUGGAAACAGAUAUUGCCUGACAAACAGCACCAAGUCCCCCCCCUCACAGUACUUGCUCUUGUUAUUAUCCCAAGGAAAAGGGGCACCCCAAAUUCUCUUCUAGGG
ensembl:lncRNA uncharacterized LOC114593382